CAAGCAGGGCCGGAGCUACGGGGGGGUGUGGGGGGGUGUGACACCCCCCAGUAAUUGUAUUCAGUCGGCAGAACUGCUAUUCAGUCGGUAGGACUGCUAUUGAGUCGGUAGAACUGCUAUUUGGGUUAAAUAUUUUUGGCGCAAAGGGCAAGAACGUGGUGGGAAUUUUAGGAAAAUUUUGAUGAAAAAUGUAAAAAUUUCGGAAAAAUGUAAAAAAAUGUUGAAAAUUUGUUAUGUUCGGAAAAUUUUUGAAUGUUCCGGAAAAUUUUUGUAUGUCCGGAAAAAUUUUUGGACCCCUAAAAUGGUACACUGACCGAAAUUUUUUUGGCGACGGGGGGGGAGGUCGACCAAAAAUUUCUGAUCCGGAAAAAUUUUUUUGAACCAGUCGGUUGAAUUGGCCUUAUUAACACCCCCCCUGAAG